rnacentral:rRNA from 1 species
GCGGGCUGGACACCCCCCGCUGGGCACUGCUUCACGGCGUGCGCGGCGGGGCCGGCCCUGCUGAAUUAUUCACCCGUGUCUUUUGCGUACUUCUUGUUUCCUGGGUGGGCUCGCCCGCCCUCAGGACCAACCACAAACCUUUUGCAAUAGCAAUCAGCGUCAGUAACAACGUAAUUAAUUACAACUUUCAACAACGGAUCUCUUGGUUCUGGCAUCGAUGAAGAACGCAGCGAAAUGCGAUACGUAGUGUGAAUUGCAGAAUUCAGUGAAUCAUCGAAUCUUUGAACGCACAUUGCGCCCUUUGGUAUUCCAAAGGGCAUGCCUGUUCGAGCGUCAUUUGUACCCUCAAGCUUUGCUUGGUGUUGGGCGUCUUUUGUCUCCAGUUCGCUGGAGACUCGCCUUAAAGUCAUUGGCAGCCGGCCUACUGGUUUCGGAGCGCAGCACAAGUCGCGCUCUUUGCCAGCCAAGGUCAGCGUCCAGCAAGCCUUUUUUUCAACCUUUGACCUCGGAUCAGGUAGGGAUACCCGCUGAACUUAAGCAUAUCAAUAGCCCGGAGGAAA